GCCCAUUGGGCCCUAUUAGGACCCCAACCCCCCUUAUAGGGUUUUAGGACCCACUUAUGGGGUCUAGGACCCACUUAUGGGGUCUAGGACCCCCCUUAUAGGGUCUAGGACCCACUUAUGGGGUCUAGGACCCCCCUUUAUAGGGUCUAGGACCCACUUAUGGGGUCUAGGCCCCACUUAUGGGGUUUUAGGCCCCACUUAUGGGGUCUAGGACCCCCUUAUAGGGUUUAGGACCCCCAAACCCACUUAUGGGGCCCAUUGGGCCCUAUUAGGACCCCAACCCCCCUUUAUAGGGUCUAGGACCCCCCUUAUAGGGUCUAGGACCCACUUAUGGGGUUUUAGGACCCACUUAUGGGGGUUUAGGACCCCCUUUAUAGGGUUUAGGACCCCCUUAUAGGGUCUAGGACCCACUUAUGGGGUCUAGGACCCACUUAUGGGGUUUUAGGCCCCACUUAUGGGGUUUAGGACCCACUUAUGGGGUCUAGGACCCACUUAUGGGGUUAAGGACCCCCCAACCCCCCUUAUGGGGUCUAGGACCCCCUUAUAGGGUUUAGGACCCACUUAUAGGGUCUAGGACCCACUUAUGGGGUUUAGGACCCCCCAACCCCCCUUAUAGGGUUUUAGGACCCCCUUUAUAGGGUCUAGGACCCCCCUUAUAGGGUCUAGGACCCACUUAUGGGGUCUAGGACCCCCCUUUAUAGGGUCUAGGACCCACUUAUAGGGUUUUAGGGCCCCUUAUGGGGUUUUAGGACCCACUUGUUGCUGUGAUGUUUGAGGUGUUUCUUGUAGGUCUCGUCCUGGAACAAGGUUUCGGGCUCGUACUUGUGGCUCCAUUCGUUCCUAUGGGGCUCUAUGGGGCCGGGCGGCUUCGCCUUCUUCCCUUUGCGACCCCGAGAAAUGGGGACGGAAAGGCCUGAAAUGGGCAAAAAGGAAAAGAAAACUUAUUAUUAUGGGGACUUAUGGGGCUGGGGACCCACUUAUGGGGCUGGGGACCCACUUAUGGGGCUGGGGACCCACUUAUGGGGCUGGGGACCCACUUAUGGGGCUGGGGACCCCAUUGAUCCCUAUGGGGACUCACUUAUGGGGCUGGGGACCCACUUAUGGGGCUGGGGAGCCACUUAUGGUCCACUUAUGUGGGCUGGGGUCCCCAUUGGCCCUAUGGGGUCCUCACUUAUGGGGGCUGGGGACAACACA
rnacentral:lncRNA from 1 species